GGAUACGGCCAUACUGCGCAGAAAGCACCGCUUCCCAUCCGAACAGCGAAGUUAAGCUGCGCCAGGCGGUGUUAGUACUGGGGUGGGCGACCACCCGGGAAUCCACCGUGCCGUAUCCUCAU
rnacentral:rRNA from 1 species